rnacentral:rRNA from 1 species
GACGAACGCUGGCGGUGUGCUUAACACAUGCAAGUCGAACGGUAAGGCCCUUUCGGGGGUACACGAGUGGCGAACGGGUGAGUAACACGUGAGUAACCUGCCCUCAUCUCUGGGAUAACAGUCGGAAACGGUUGCUAAUACUGGAUAUGAGCUUGCAAGGCAUCUUGUGGGUUGGAAAGAUUUUUUUGGUUGGGGAUGGACUCGCGGCCUAUCAGCUUGUUGGUGAGGUAGUGGCUCACCAAGGCUUCGACGGGUAGCCGGCCUGAGAGGGCGACCGGCCACAUUGGGACUGAGAUACGGCCCAAACUCCUACGGGAGGCGGCAGUGGGGAAUAUUGCACAAUGGACGGAAGUCUGAUGCAGCAACGCCGCGUGCGGGAUGACGGCCUUCGGGUUGUAAACCGCUUUCAAUUGUGACGAAGCUUUUUGUGACGGUAGCAGUAGAAGAAGCACCGGCUAACUACGUG